UACGUAGGUGGCAAGCGUUGUCCGGAUUUAUUGGGUUUAAAGGGUGCGUAGGCGGUGUCCUAAGUCAGUUGUGAAAUACGGCAGCUUAACUGUCGAGGUGCAAUUGAUACUGGGACACUUGAGUACUGAUGAGGUAAGCGGAAUGGACGGUGUAGCGGUGAAAUGCUUAGAUAUCGUCCAGAACACCGAUAGCGAAGGCAGCUUACUAAGGAGUAACUGACGCUGAGGCACGAAAGUGUGGGGAUCAAACAGG
rnacentral:rRNA from 1 species